ACUAAACCUAGCCCUACACACACUUAUAAUACAAUUAUUACAGACAUUAAAAUAAAACAUUCACUCUUAAAAGUAUAGGAGAUAGAAAUUUAUUUUAGCGCUAUAGAGACAGUACCGCAAGGGAAAGAUGAAAGAACAAACAAAAGUACAAAAAAGCAUAGAUUACAUCUAGUACCUUUUGCAUAAUGAAUUAACUAGAAAACUUUGACAAAAAGAAUUUAAGCCAAAUUUCCCGAAACCAAACGAGCUACUUUUAAACAGCUAACAGUGAGCAAACUCAUCUAUGUAGCAAAAUAGUGAGAAGAUUUAAAAGUAGAGGUGAAAAGCCUACCGAGCUUGGAGAUAGCUGGUUAUCCAAACAAGAAUUUAAGUUCUACUUUAAGUCUUUCCUAAAAAUCCCCAAAAUUCUAAUGAAAACUUACAUGUUAACUUAAGGAGGGACAGCUCCUUAAAUAAGGAUACAUCCUUGAACAGAGGGUAAAACAUACAAAUAUCAUAGUAGGCCUAAAAGCAGCCAUCAAUUAAGAAAGCGUUCAAGCUCAACAAUAAUCACCCAACUUUAUCCCAAAAACCUUAAUCACCCCCUGAUAAAACAAUUGGAUUAAUCUAUAGACAUAUAGAAGAAAUAAUGUUAAUAUUAGUAAUAAGAAAUACUUCUCCUUGCACAAGUUUAAAUCAAUCUUAACAAUUAACAACUUUAUAAAAUACAUACCCACUAGAAUAUUAUUAUAUAUAUUGUUAACCCAACUCAGGCGUGCAGUAAGGAAAGACUAAAAUAAGUAAAAGGAACUCGGCAAACACAAACCCCGCCUGUUUACCAAAAACAUCACCUCUAGCAUCCCAAGUAUUAGAGGCACCGCCUGCCCGGUGACAUCCCAAGUUAAACGGCCGCGGUAUCCUGACCGUGCAAAGGUAGCAUAAUCAUUUGUUCUUUAAAUAAGGACUUGUAUGAAAGGCUUGACGAGGGUUUAACUGUCUCUUACUUAUAGUCAAUGAAAUUGAUACUCCCGUGAAGAAGCGGGGAUAAAAUAAUAAGACGAGAAGACCCUAUGGAGCUUCAAUUAAUUAAUUCAUUUUCACAAAACCAACUCAACAAGAAAUAAAACUAGAAUUAUGAAUUAAAAAUUUUGGUUGGGGUGACCUCGGAGCAAAACCAAACCUCCGAAUGAUUUUAACCUAGACCUACAAGUCAAAGUUACUAUCAUAAAUUGACCCAGAAAUACUCUGAUCAACGAACCAAGUUACCCUAGGGAUAACAGCGCAAUCCUAUUAUAGAGUCCAUAUCGACAAUAGGGUUUACGACCUCGAUGUUGGAUCAGGACCCCCAAAUGGUGCAACCGCUAUUAAAGGUUCGUUUGUUCAACGAUUAAAGUCCUACGUGAUCUGAGUUCAGACCGGAGUAAUCCAGGUCGGUUUCUAUCUAUUAAAAAUUUCUCCCAGUACGAAAGGACAAGAGAAAUUAGGCCAAUAAACUAAUUAUGCCUUAAUAGCAAAAGACUGAUAUAAUAUAAAAUCCUUAGCUAUUAACAACUACAACCCGAGAUAAGAGUUU
rnacentral:rRNA from 1 species